ACCGAAAUCGCCCAACUUCAGGGACUUGGUGCCGUCCGGAUACUCACACACCUGCAGAACGAAACCAGAACCGAGCGCCACAGAGUUCAGCCCGGUGACUUGGUCCUGGAUAAACCUUUGGGUGGAGUCCUGGAGGAGGAGAAGCUGGAGCUGCUGGGAGUUUUGGGGGUUUUCUGAGGAGCGGCUGGACGAGGCGUUUUGGUCCUGCACUCUGGACGACGGACAAACGGACGGAAAAGCCGCCGUUUUCCCAGAAUGCGUCAGCACAAAGUCGUCCUGCGCGUACCGAAACUUCUCCGGCCCGCACGCCAUGAACACAUCGUCGUCCCCGAAGAAAUCCUGCAGGCAGCGCUGAGCGGAGGACAGAUGGGAAUAUUUAAAUCAUGUUUGCAGCUCUUCAGCAGCUCCUGACAGACAAGAAACAAACACAUCGAGCCGCCGAAGAACUGUCUUGAGGAUUAGAGACAAAGUUUUCAUCAACACGGAUUUAUGCAGACGGAGAAAACGGAGAGAGAGAGGAAAGGUGAAGAAAAGAGGGAUCAGCAGAGAUAUGAAAGAAGGGAUUAAACGGAGGAAAGCUGCAGCAAAGUUCACACCAGUUGCCAUGGAGACCACGCUGCAGGGUCAGAGAUGGCGUUUCUCUCCAAGCAAGCUGAGACUUCGGGAGAACCGCUGCAGCCGAGCCUAGCCGCGCCGGGCCUGUGAGUCAACCCGGGUCGCGGGGAUGCAGCGGCGGCCG